ACCCUCUCAGGAUCACACCUGGGGAGCUUCCAGUACUCUACCAGUCUCGAGACUGUUAGGAGGGAGAGUCAAGCAGAGGCCUACCCAUUCCAUCCCUAGCUUGAGCAGUGGCUAGCAAGUGGAAGACAAUCUGCUACAAGU